rnacentral:lncRNA from 1 species
GUUCAGUGGACCAUGAAAUUGGGGUCAAAACUAUAAUUUGGCAUUAAAAUUAGAAAGAUCAUAUCAUGGGGAACAAGUGUACUAAGUUUCAAGUUGAUUGGACUUCAACUUCUUCAAAAACUACUUUGACCAAAAACUUUAACCUGAAGCGGACGGACGAACGGAGGUACAGACGGACGGACAGACGAACGGAGGCACAGACCAGAAAACAUAAUGCCCCUCUACUAUUGUAGGUGGGGCAUAAAAACAACAAU